rnacentral:lncRNA from 1 species
GUUCAAGGGCGACUCGGGAGCAACGACCCUUCGACAUAUCAGUGAGUGGGCUUUUGAUUUUCAGUAUAUAUAUAUAUAUAUAUAUAUACACUUGAUAUCCAAAAAAUAUGUGUUUAAAUGAAAGUAUGCCUUAAAUGCCAUGCAUAUGAAUUUAUAUUUCGUAUAUGAAUUGAUAUAUGAUGCAUUAUAUAUAUAAUUGUGGUGCUGUGGACGCUCAGGUAAGCUCAGGUGAGUUAUGUUUGGUUAUGUGAAUUAUCAAUGGUGCGAUAUGUGAUUAAAUAAUGUUGAGAUUAUAAAACUGCACCUAGGGUGAUUGUGAUUUAGUCAGAGAUAUGACACAUGCCUGUUUAUUAUGUCACCUCCCGCACCAUAUGCUCAUAUUGGAUCCAAUUUAGGUGCAUAGUCAUGUAGUAUAGACCAUCUUAGGUGGUUCCAACUCGUAGGUGACUAGCGAUUUAUCGCCCAGCUAUUAUGUGUGAGCAGCAUUGAGCAUGAUUAUAUUGCACCCAUUAUUGUCGUACAGACCUUUUCAUUUGGUUCUGACUCUUAUGCAGUAUAGUGUCGUAUAUGUCAUUGUAGUGACUCCGGCUAGAUUGACUUUGAGCUAUGAAUUCAGCUGUAUAGACUACCACAGGGGCUCUGGCUAACAUGUUAUAUUUAUAUGAAAUUAUUCUUACCUGAACUGCUUACUCUAUUAUAUCUUGGCAUGGCAUACAUAUGAACAUGAUUAUGUGAAGCAUGAUUUGAAUUGAUAUAAUUACAUAUAUAUUUAUGUAUAUGUGUAUAUCUUGAUUCUGAGAAAAAUUAUACAUGCUUUAUAGCGAGGGGUUAGAUAUGUUGAUAAAUGAAAUGGUUUUGUAAAACAUUUGUUUUUGCCCACUCACGUUUUCUGUUUUGCGCCCCUCUAGGUUUUAGAUAAGCUUGUUGUUACUCGGUUCAAGGACUUCGGCGGUUCUGACAUAUCUAAAUAAUAGUAGGAUAUUCCUGGUACUGUAUAAUUAGUACUUGUCUUACUGGACUGCACCUAGACUUAUUAUACUCUGAUUAGGAGUAUUUACUUUUGCAACUAACUUC